GUGGAUUAGAUACCCUAGUAGUCCACGCAGUAAACGAUGAUAACUUGUUGUCGGCGAUACACAGUCGGUGACCAAGCGAAAGCGAUAAGUUAUCCACCUGGGGAGUACGAUCGCAAGGUUGAAACUCAAAGGAAUUGACGGGGGCCCGCACAAGCGGAGGAGCAUGUGGUUUAAUUCGAUGAUACGCGAGGAACCUUACCUAGACUCAAAUGUUGAGUGACCGUUUCAGAAAUGGAACUUCUCUUCGGAGCACUUAGCAAGGUGCUGCACGGCCGUCGACAACU
rnacentral:rRNA from 1 species